rnacentral:rRNA from 1 species
AUCUAUGACCAUACCACCCUGAACACACCCAAUUUCAUCUGAUCUCAGAAGCUAAGCAGGGUUGGGCCUGGUUAGUACUUGGAUGGGAGACAAAUGCUUUGUACAUA